rnacentral:rRNA from 1 species
UACGGAGGGGCGAGUGUUGUUCGGAAUUAUUGGGCGUAAAGGGCGCGCAGGCGGCUUGGCAAGUCGAGUGUGAAAUCCCUUGGCUUAACUGAGGAAUGGCGCUCGAAACUACCUCGCUAGAGGGCGGGAGAGGGAAGUGGAACUCUCGGUGUAGGGGUGAAAUGCGUAGAGAUCGGCAGGAACACCCAGGGGGAAACCAGCCGACUGGGCAUCUACUGACGCUGAGGUGCGAGAGCGUGGGGAGCGAACCGG